CUAAGGUGCACUCCUGGGCGGCUGCACACGAGAAAAUGAAGGUCCACAUACCUAAUUAGUGAAGGCGCGAAAGCGGGGCUCCACUAAUGAGAUGCCUGGACCCUGGAGAAGACGCACAUGUAAGUCACUCUGCCCUGAUGGCCUGCUAUAAACAUGAGUAGAACAUGCAGUAUUCAGGUCUUGUCUAACAUGUACAAUGGUAUAGCCUUGUGAUGAUAUUACAAGACUCAACAGACUGAAACCUGGGCAACCGAGAGGAGAAAGGCAAACGAGUAAUCAUCAGCAUAAGUACUUCUCACAGCUAACAGCUGACUCCACUACUAGAUGCAGCACCAAAAGCAGGACAUAACCCAGGGCAACUGACUGUGAGAAACAAAAUAAUAAAAACAACCUCUAAGCAGUUUAGAAAGU